rnacentral:rRNA from 1 species
AACGUAGGGGGCUAGCGUUGCCCGGAUUCACUGGGCGUAAAGCGGGUGUAGGCGGUUCUUUAAGUCGGAUGUGAAAUCCAGCGGCCCAACCGCUGAAUUGCAUCCGAUACUGGGGAACUUGAGGACGGUAGAGGUCGGUGGAAUAUCCGGUGUACCGGUGAAAUGGACAGAUAUCGGAUGGAACACCAGUGGCGAAGGCGGCCGACUGGGCCGAUCCUGACGCUGAGGCCCGAAAGCUAGGGUAGCGAACCGG